UUUUGGACAAUGGGGGCAACCCUGAUCCAGCAAUGCCGCGUGAGUGAAGAAGGCCUUCGGGUUGUAAAGCUCUUUUGUCAGGGAAGAAACACCGGCUCUAACACAGUACGGGAAUGACGGUACCUGAAGAAUAAGCACCGGCUAACUACGUGCCAGCAGCCGCGGUAAUACGUAGGGUGCAAGCGUUAAUCGGAAUUACUGGGCGUAAAGCGUGCGCAGGCGGUUAUACAAGACAGGCGUGAAAUCCCCGGGCUUAACCUGGGAAUGGCGCCUGUGACUGUAUAGCUAGAGUGUGUCAGAGGGGGGUAGAAUUCCACGUGUAGCAGUGAAAUGCGUAGAUAUGUGGAGGAAUACCAAUGGCGAAGGCAGCCCCCUGGGAUAACACUGACGCUCAUGCACGAA
rnacentral:rRNA from 1 species